AGCGGGGCAGGGUAGGCCUCAGCCGUGUGCUGGGCUGGGGUGUGGGUUUGCGGGCUUCUCCUGGGGCGUGCAGGGAGUUCUAGACGGGCGGGUGCCUGCUGCGUUGUGGGUAGUGUCCAGCUCCAGGCGAAGGGGGCAGCCGAGCUGGAGCCCAGUCAGCAGCAGCGCUUGUUGGGGGUCACCUCUCUCAUUGCUCGAGUAGCAGAGCUGCCCCAGAGGGGUCUCUGGGCAGGGCGAGGUGGGCUUGUCCACUGGGCCUUCUGCCUCUGGGACAUAUGAGAGGGAAGUUCAGCUGCCCCAGUGGGCCAGUGGCUCUUCAAGCUGCUUGCAAGUAUGACUGUCCUUUAUUGUCUGUUUUAUGGAAGUGCCUUGACAUGCAAGCUCAGGGCUAGUCAUGGCACAGGUCGGUGUGUACUUAGGCCGUGUCUACACUAGUGAGUUUACGGUGGCACUCACUAUAAACUCACAUGGUGGGCUAUACUUCUCUCUAUCUGAGCUGGAUGUGUGACACCCCCAGGCCUGCAGUGGCUGAAGAGAAUUCUUUCUGGUGCUGCUGAACCAAUCCCUGCAACAAACCCUGUUGCCAGCUGUGUCCGCGUAUCUAUUCAAGGGACACCAUUACAGGAUCUAAUCACAUCAGCCACACCAUCAGAGGCUCGUUCACCUGCACAUCUACCAAUGUGAUAUAUGUGCCAGCCAUGCCCUUCUGCCAUGUGUGUUGGACAAACGGGAGUUUCUAGGCAAAAGAAUAAAUGGACGCAAAUCAGACAUCAAGAAUUGUAACAUUCAAAAGCCAGUAGAAGAGCAUUUCAAUCUCCCUGGACACUCAGCAGACUUAAAAGUGGCAAUUCUUCAACAAAAAAAACUUCAAAAACAGACUUCAAUGAGAAACUGCAGAGCUGGAAUUAAUUUGCAAACUUUACAUCAUCAAAGUAGGCCUGAAUAAAGACUUGGAAUGGGUGGGUCAUUACGUUUUUCCCCCCCGUCCCUUGGUAUUCACCCCUUGUCAACUGUUGGAAAUGGGCCACAUCCACCCUAAUUGAAUUGGCCUUGUUAGCACUGACCCCACACUUAGUAAGUCAACUCCCAUCUUUUCAUGUGCUGUGUAUUUAUACCUGCCUACUGUAUAUUUCCACUCCGUGCAUGUCAUGAAGUGGGUUAUAGCCCACAAAAGCUUAUGCACAAACAAAUGUGUUAGUCUCUAAGGUGCCACAAGGACUCCUUGUAUUUUUUAUGCUUUCAGUGUUAGGCAUGUAAGUCAGGGCUUGAUGUUCUGUUGUUAGAAUCACUAGGUACUUUUCAUUGUGCCCUAUUUCUGCAUGAAAUCUUCAGAAUGGGGCACCUAAUUCAGUCCCAGCAAUUUCUUUUAAAAAUAUGCAUUUAAAUACGAUCACCAAUGCAGUGAUCAGACCUAUUUUUCUCCUUGUGUAGUUCUUCCAUUCAUUUAUUUGGUGAGCCUAAUAUGCAUCUUUGUAGAUUUCACUCUGGUGCAUAACAAGAGAACAACAUAAGGAAGCAGGGAGAUAGGAAGGGGAAGAUGCAAUCACUGCCAUGCGUGAUUCGAGAAUACAAGCGACAUAAGAGAAAAAAAACAACGUAGACAAAAGAAGGGAAAAUAUUGGAAAGGAAAUAGAUUGGAAAGCAAGAAAAGUAAGAAAUACAAUGACUUUUAGGUUAUUGAAUUGUGUUUUGCAUUUGCAGGUUGUUUCCUACAUUCUAGUGUAUUUUUCUGGUACAUGUCACGUCCAUACAUAUUGGCAAGAGGAUAGAAUGUUGUUAUUCUGGGGACUUCAGUUAAACUGCUGUUUACUACUGUAAUUAGAUCAAUGGAACAUGUAAUUUUUAAAAUCACAUGCUAUUUUAGCAGGCAAUUGCCUUUCUGAUGUUUAAGCCUAGACAGGAAUACAUGUGUUUUCUGAAGGUAGUGAAUAAAAUUUACAAAAAGG